rnacentral:rRNA from 1 species
CCUACGGGAGACAGCAGUCGAGAAUCAUUCACAAUGGGGGAAACCCUGAUGGUGCGACGCCGCGUGGGGGAAUGAAGGUCUUCGGAUUGUAAACCCCUGUCAUGUGGGAGCAAAUUAAAAAGAUAGUACCACACGAGGAAGAGACGGCUAACUCUGUGCCAGCAGCCGCGGUAAUACAGAGGUCUCAAGCGUUGUUCGGAAUCACUGGGCGUAAAGCGUGCGUAGGCUGUUUCGUAAGUCGUGUGUGAAAGGCGCGGGCUCAACCCGCGGACGGCACAUGAUACUGCGAGACUAGAGUAAUGGAGGGGGAACCGGAAUUCUCGGUGUAGCAGUGAAAUGCGUAGAUAUCGAGAGGAACACUCGUGGCGAAGGCGGGUUCCUGGACAUUAACUGACGCUGAGGCACGAAGGCCAGGGGAGCGAAAGGGAUUAGAUACCCCGGUAGUC